UUAAAUUUUAUAUUUUCCUGUGUGUGGUCUUUAGACAUGUUUUGUCAUUUCAUCUUACCUUUGAUUUGAUUUCCUUAAUGCAUCUAGAUGUUAGUACCUGUCAUACUUGGAGACAAUUUUCAUUAAGUAAUACUGCACUUAAAAUAGACAUCCAUUAAUCCUGACUUGAGUUAUAGUUUUAGUUCCAACUUGAUAAUUCACUAUGUGGUCUACAGAUACUUAAUAAGAAGUGGAUCUGUUCUUUUUUAAAUUUUCUAAAUGGAAUCCUAUGUGAA